GUCUCGGUGGUGUAAUGGUAGCACGCGUCGUUGAUAUAGAACGCGGGUUCAAUUCCUACUUGGGGUA